rnacentral:rRNA from 1 species
CGGCAACAGCUCAAAUUUGAAAUCUGGCCCUUGUGGUCCGAGUUGUAAUUUGUAGAGGAUGCUUUUGGUGCGGUACCUUCCGAGUUCCCUGGAACGGGACGCCAUAGAGGGUGAGAGCCCCGUCUGGUUGGAUACCAAUCCUCUGUAAAGCUCCUUCGACGAGUCGAGUAGUUUGGGAAUGCUGCUCUAAAUGGGAGGUAUAUGUCUUCUAAAGCUAAAUAUUGGCCAGAGACCGAUAGCGCACAAGUAGAGUGAUCGAAAGAUGAAAAGCACUUUGAAAAGAGGGUUAAAUAGUACGUGAAAUUGUUGAAAGGGAAGCGUUUGUGACCAGACUUGGGCUUGGUUAAUCACCCAGCGUUCUCGCUGGUGCACUUUGCCAGCCCAGGCCAGCAUCAGUUUGCUGCGGGGGAUAAAAGUUUCGGGAAUGUGGCUCCUCGGAGUGUUAUAGCCCGUUGCACAAUACCCUGCGGUGGACUGAGGUUCGCGCAUCUGCAAGGAUGCUGGCGUAAUGGUCAUCAACGACCCGUCUUGAAACACGGACCAAGGAGUCGUCUUCGUAUGCGAGUGUUCGGGUGUCAAACCCCUACGCGUAAUGAAAGUGAACGGAGGUGGGAGCCUCGGCGCACCAUCGACCGAUCCUGAUGUUUUCGGAUGGAUUUGAGUAAGAGCAUACGGGGCCGGACCCGAAAGAAGGUGAACUAUGCCUGUAUAGGGUGAAGCCAGAGGAAACUCUGGUGGAGGCUCGCAGCGGUUCUGACGUGCAAAUCGAUCGUCAAAUAUGGGCAUGGGGGCGAA